rnacentral:rRNA from 1 species
ACGGGAUCCCUGGCAGCUUGCUGCCGGGGUGAGAGUGGCGAACGGGUGAGUAAUGCGUGACCGACCUGCCCCAUGCACCGGAAUAGCUCCUGGAAACGGGUGGUAAUGCCGGAUGUUCCACAUGAGCGCAUGCGAGUGUGGGAAAGGCUUUUUGCGGCAUGGGAUGGGGUCGCGUCCUAUCAGCUUGUUGGUGGGGUAACGGCCUACCAAGGCGUUGACGGGUAGCCGGCCUGAGAGGGCGACCGGCCACAUUGGGACUGAGAUACGGCCCAGACUCCUACGGGAGGCAGCAGUGGGGAAUAUUGCACAAUGGGCGCAAGCCUGAUGCAGCGACGCCGCGUGCGGGAUGGAGGCCUUCGGGUUGUAAACCGCUUUUGUUCAAGGGCAAGGCACGGUUUCGGCCGUGUUGAGUGGAUUGUUCGAAUAAGCACCGGCUAACUACGUGCCAGCAGCCGCGGUAAUACGUAGGGUGCAAGCGUUAUCCGGAUUUAUUGGGCGUAAAGGGCUCGUAGGCGGUUCGUCGCGUCCGGUGUGAAAGUCCAUCGCUUAACGGUGGAUCCGCGCCGGGUACGGGCGGGCUUGAGUGCGGUAGGGGAGACUGGAAUUCCCGGUGUAACGGUGGAAUGUGUAGAUAUCGGGAAGAACACCAAUGGCGAAGGCAGGUCUCUGGGCCGUUACUGACGCUGAGGAGCGAAA